GUGGGAGUAGCUCAGUUUUGGUUAGAGCAACCGAUUGCAAUUUUAUAUUUGUAAUCAUCGGUAGGUCGUGGGUUCGAAUCCCACUUCCCACU
rnacentral:tRNA from 1 species